rnacentral:rRNA from 1 species
UACGGGGGGGGCAAGCGUUGUUCGGAAUUACUGGGCGUAAAGGGCUCGUAGGCGGCCAACUAAGUCGGAUGUGAAAUCCCCAGGCUCAACUUGGGAACUGCAUCCGAUACUGGAUGGCUUGAAUUCGGGAGAGGGAUGCAGAAUUCCAGGUGUAGCGGUGAAAUGCGUAGAUAUCUGGAGGAAUACCGGUGGCGAAGGCGGCAUCCUGGACCGAGAUUGACACUGAUGAGCGAAAGCUAGGGGAGCAAACGGG